AUUGAACGCUGGCGGAAUGCUUUACACAUGCAAGUCGAACGGUAGAGGGGGCAACCCCUCGAGAGUGGCGAACGGGUGAGUAAUAUAUCGGAACGUGCCCAGUCGUGGGGGAUAACGUAGCGAAAGUUACGCUAAUACCGCAUACGAUCUAAGGAUGAAAGCGGGGGAUCGCAAGACCUCGUGCGAUUGGAGCGGCCGAUAUCAGAUUAGGUAGUUGGUGGGGUAAAGGCUAACCAAGCCAACGAUCUGUAGCUGGUCUGAGAGGACGACCAGCCACACUGGAACUGAGACACGGUCCAGACUCCUACGGGAGGCAGCAGUGGGGAAUAUUGGACAAUGGGGGCAACCCUGAUCCAGCGAUGCCGUGUGUGUGAGGAAGGCCUGCGGGUUGUAAAGCACUUUUGUUUGGGAGGAAAAGCUGUGCAUGAAUAAGGUACAGCCAUGACGUUACCAAAAGAAUAAGCACCGGCUAACUCUGUGCCAGCCGCCGCCGUAA
rnacentral:rRNA from 1 species